rnacentral:rRNA from 1 species
GGCAGCAGGCGCGCAAAUUACCCAAUCCCAAUACGGGGAGGUAGUGACAAUAAAUAACAAUAUGGGGCUCUUACGGGUCUCGUAAUUGGAAUGAGUACAAUUUAAAUCUCUUAACGAGGAACAAUUGGAGGGCAAGUCUGGUGCCAGCAGCCGCGGUAAUUCCAGCUCCAAUAGCGUAUAUUAAAGUUGUUGCAGUUAAAAAGCUCGUAGUUGAAUUUCGGAGUUUGUCGGUUGGUCGGGCUUCAUUGUCCGCACUGGCCUGAUGGAUUCCUACCUUCUGAAUAACCAGCAUGCUAUUAAGUUAGUGCGUUGGGGAA